CCUACGGGAGGCAGCAGUAGGGAAUCUUUCACAAUGGGCGAAAGCCUGAUGGAGCAACGCCGCGUGCAGGAUGAAGGCCUUCGGGUUGUAAACUGCUUGUAUAAGCGAGCAAUAUGAUGGUAACUUAUGAAUAAGGAUCGGCUAACUACGUGCCAGCAGCCGCGGUCAUACGUAGGAUCCGAGCAUUAUCCGGAGUGACUGGGUGUAAAGAGUUGCGUAGGUGGCAUAAUAAGUAGCUAGUGAAAUCUGGUGGCUCAACCGUUCAGACUAUUAGCUAAACUGUUAAGCUCGAGACCGUUAGGGGUAAGUGGAAUUUCUAGUGUAGGAGUGAAAUCCGUAGAUAUUAGAAGGAACACCAAUAGCGUAGGCAGGUUGCUGGGACGGUUCUGACACUAAGGCACGAAAGCGUAGGGAGCAAACGGGAUUAGAUACCCCUGUAGUC
rnacentral:rRNA from 1 species